GUAGGCGAGUAAUCCCCGGAUGUACUGUUUCAGCGAAGAUUCUGAAGGGUUCAUCGAGGGAUAGUUUUCAAUCCCAGAAUGCCACACGAAAGGGAUAAAUCGUCAUCGAACGUGAAGGAGAGCAGCGUAGAGGGUGUUUACAAAGAUCUUUUGUGGUGGAGCAGGUGACAGCAGCAUCUGUUGAAAAAACCUGAAAGAAAAAUCUAAAGAUCUGAAAUGUCUGCAGACAGCUGUGUGCACUGAGGAUGGAGAAGAUGGAGUGCCAUGGGUGAAAUGCUCCAUCACUGCAUCUCCUCUUGUUUUCUCAUCAGGACCAGAUGUUGCUGUGGUCUCUUCAUCUUCAGUGACCCCAGAGCCAGCGAGAACAUUUAGAGAGAG